rnacentral:rRNA from 1 species
AUAUUGCACAAUGGGCGAAAGCCUGAUGCAGCAACGCCGCGUGAGCGAUGAAGGCUUUCGGGUCGUAAAGCUCUGUCCUAAGGGAAGAUAAUGACGGUACCUUAGGAGGAAGCCCCGGCUAACUACGUGCCAGCAGCCGCGGUAAUACGUAGGGGGCAAGCGUUAUCCGGAUUCAUUGGGCGUAAAGGGUGCGUAGGCGGCCCUAUAGGUCAAAGGGCAAAGGGUAAGGCUCAACCGUAGUAAGCCUUUGAAAAUGUAGGGCUUGAGUGCAGGAGAGGAGAGUGGAAUUCCUAGUGUAGCGGUGAAAUGUGUAGAUAUUAGGAGGAACACCAGUGGCGAAGGCGACUUUCUGGACUGCAACUGAAGCUGAGGCACGAAAGCGUGGGGAGCGAAC